AUUGAGCGCUGGCGGCAUGCCUUACACAUGCAAGUCGAACGGCAGCACGGGAGCAAUCCUGGUGGCGAGUGGCGAACGGGUGAGUAAAGUAUCGGAACGUGCCCAGUCGUGGGGGAUAACGUAGCGAAAGUUACGCUAAUACCGCAUACGAUCUAUGGAUGAAAGCGGGGGAUCGCAAGACCUCGCGCGAUUGGAGCGGCCGAUAUCAGAUUAGGUAGUUGGUGGGGUAAAGGCUCACCAAGCCGACGAUCUGUAGCUGGUCUGAGAGGACGACCAGCCACACUGGGACUGAGACACGGCCCAGACUCCUACGGGAGGCAGCAGUGGGGAAUUUUGGACAAUGGGCGCAAGCCUGAUCCAGCCAUGCCGCGUGCAGGAUGAAGGCCUUCGGGUUGUAAACUGCUUUUGUACGGAACGAAAAGGUUUGACUUAAUACGUUGGACUCAUGACGGUACCGUAAGAAUAAGCACCGGCUAACUCUGUGCCAGCCGCCGCGGUAA
rnacentral:rRNA from 1 species